rnacentral:misc_RNA from 1 species
CCCACCCACUCAAGUAUCUUUUUUGCAGGAUUCUUGGAAUAAUUUGGAGAGGUAUCUUGUCACAGAGAUGUCCUCCAGAAAUCUAUAGGCAGUAUGGUUUGUACCUGAACCAGACGUAAUAAUAAUAAAAUCGUUUGUUUGGGAAUAAUUGUGCUUGCCUUAACCCACCCAUUUUUUUUAUUU